AGAUUAUUAUCUAGCAGUAACAGCCAUUUAAAGAAGUAACUACCAGAAGAAACAAAUAACUAAAAGGAUUGUCUGUGGAGAUGUGAAUGGGGACAGAAGAAAUUCAUUAAGACCCUUUACUUUCUUUAAAGUGCAAGUAUUUUGAUAUCUAACCGGAUGUCUCAAUUAACAGAAGAGUCACGUCUAGGAAGGAUGUUUGAAAUGUUACAUUAGGAGGCUGACAGCUGUUCCUUCCUGAGGUUUGGAGGUGAGAAUUAUUGACAUAACCCCAGUAUCAUGGAGCACUCCUCUCUGCAAGUGUAAAGUGCUGUGUGUUGUUUGAAGAACACUGCAUGUGCUAUCUUCCUCAGUACUAUUCUGGGUGUGCUUGUCGAAGAGAUAUUCUGCCGAGCCAGAUUCGGGCGCUCCCAUCUUGCGCAAGUUGGUCACGUGGUCACUCAAUUCUUUGAUGGCUUUCACCUGCUCAUUCAGGGCACUAAUAUACACAUGAUGAUACUUAAUUCUCUCAGAAAACCUUUGGCAAAGACACUUUCUACAUCUUGAAGGCAAGGAAUCUGAAUCUUGAAGAGAUUAAAUGAAUUGUCCAAAGUCACGUGGGGGUUUGGGAGAAGGAAAAUCAUGAACACACAUUCUUCUACUCUGGAGAAGUGGGGAAGGUGACCUGGGAAACCAUCUGAAAGGGAGCAGGAUGGAUUCUAUAAAAUAUAGAGUGUUCAAUGAAAACAACCUGAUGCUCCUCCCAGUACCAUCACAUUUUUCUAGCUGCAUAUCCUUAGGAACCACAUUCUACUUGUGUAGGAGCUGCGACAGUAACCAACUCAUCCUGCCCUACUCACAGUAUAGCAUCUUUAGGCAUUGACUACAAUCAGCCAAGUCACCGGCUGAGGGGAAGAACAAGAACCAACCUUGAACUAUGAUCUAAGACAAGGUGUCCAAUCUUUUGGCUUCCCUGGGCCCCAUUGAAAGAAGAAUUGUCUCGGGCUACAUAUAAAAUACACCAACACUAACGAUAACUGAUGAGCUUAAAAAAAAAAUCACAAACACACAAAUCUCAUAAGGUUCUAAGAAAGUUUACGAAUUUGUGUUGGGCGGCAUUCAAAGCCAUGCUAGGUCGUGUGUGGCCCAGGUGGGCCACAGGUUGAACAAGCUUGAUCUAAGAUAAAGUGGUUCUGACCUUCAGCCUAAAUUCCUCUCACUAGCAUUCGAGAUGGAAUGAGGUCAGGGCACACACUUUCAUGUUUUCUUGCUACAAAUUACUUGGAUGAGAAAUUUCCCUCUGAAAAUACUAAAAAAGUGAAGAGGAAAACAGCUACUUCACCCUUAAUUCUGACCAAGAAGGGAAAAUUGUGAACUAAAAGGCAGCCACAUGUUCCUUGGGAAAGAAACAAUCACAUGAUCUUCGUUUAAUUAGCCAGAUAAUAAAACCACGGAUUUGUUAGUCAAAAUAUAUUUGACUAUUCUGUGCCAGACAUUGUUCUAGGCACAGGAGAGAACAAGACAAAGACCCAUAGCCUCGGAUUGCUGACAUUUCUAUGUACAGAGAAAAAUAGACAAAUAAACAUUAAGAUUUCAACAUUUAUCCUAGAGUUUAGAAAAUCUAACUUUAAUUGUUUUUAGAAAUUUUUAAAAUCUAAAGUCCUAAUACCAGACAAAUGGUUCCAAUUUUUCUUUUUGAUUUUUAAAAAAUUUACAAUAAGAUACUUUGAAAAUGGAAACCUGGUUUUAAAGUGAAAAUGUAUUCAGUGACUAAUGAAAUUUCCAUGGGAACAGUGGAAAGAAUACUGUCACAAAGGAUAGUUGCCAUCUUUUGAUGGUUAUUUAAAGUCUUGGAUAUGUUAGAAAAUGUAUCGCAAUUUUAAAAUCAGUAUUCUUUGUUACUUUGUAUCAAUUCAAUUAAGGCAACAUCCUAUUCCAUAGUGAAAAUAUAGCUAUUCUGUUAAACUCCAGCUUGGAAUACAUUUUAAAGUGCAUUCUUAAUAAAAAAUUUUAAAUAGGAGAACAUGGAACAAAAUUAAAAGUAUUCAGGAAAAUAAUUUUAUACCUAGAGACACUAGAGAAGAAGGUUAACUCAAGAGUGACCAAAGACUUUAGAUGUUCUAGUAUUUUUUUUUCUUUUUAGAAAUUAGACAAAUUUAAUUUGUGGAAAAUUGCUAGAAUGAAUUCAUGAAUAUAGUUUGCGAGCAUGUAGGAAAUGAAAUGGUGAUUUUUAGGGGAUCAUGGGUAUCUUGGUAACAGAUCAUGCUUUUUUAAUGAGCAGAACAAAAUGUGCCACAAACACAGUGCCUUGGUAUUUGUAAAUCAUUUUCCAAAAUUUUUCACAAUAUCUAUAUAAAUAAGAUUUUUAAAAUUGUAUGUAUAACACUAUAGUUGGCAAGUUUCAUUCCUGGUUCCACAAUAACACUGAUUAGUGGUUGGAUGGAAAGCCGGCAGGAAUGUGUUGUGUCUGUUCCUGUUUAACAUUUCUGUAAGUGAUUUGGUGAGGAUACAGAAGGCAUGUUAUUGAAUGUGUAGAUGGACAAAGUUUAGGGUAAAAGUUAAUGUGUUUGAAAAAAGAGGUUAUAUUAAAAAUACCUUCAUUGACUGGAACAAUUGGAAAGGACAUACUUGUCUGCCUACAGGGACAGAAAACUCAUUACCAUGGUGGCUUUUUCAUUGGGUUUGCUAGGGCCAGAAUCCAGAACUCAUUGAGUACUUCUUCUUAUAGCAUAUAUAGCAAUUCAUUAACAUUGGGGAAUAAUAAUAAUACAAUAGUCAUUGUCCAGAAAGGACUAACUUUAAUGGUAAAAG
rnacentral:lncRNA from 10 species